rnacentral:rRNA from 1 species
UGUCGUCAGCUCGUGUCGUGAGAUGUUGGGUUAAGUCCCGCAACGAGCGCAACCCUCGUCCUUAGUUGCUAACAGUUCGGCUGAGCACUCUAAGGAGACUGCCUUCGCAAGGAGGAGGAAGGUGAGGACGACGUCAAGUCAUCAUGGCCCUUACGGCUAGGGCUACACACGUGCUACAAUGGGGCGUACAGAGAGUUGCGAUACCGCGAGGUGGAGCUAAUCUCUUAAAGCGUCUCUCAGUUCGGAUUGUUGUCUGCAACUUCGAGUCACAUGAAGCUGGAAUCAGCUAGUAAUUCGCAGAUCAUGCUAUGCUAGCGGUGAACAGUGCCC